AGGCCAGUAGCUCAAUUUGGCAGAGCGCGCGUCUCCAAAACGCGAGGUUGUGGGUUCAAUUCCUACCUGGCCUG
rnacentral:tRNA from 1 species